AACGGACGCUGGCGGCAUGCCUAACACAUGCAAGUCGAACGAGACCUUCGGGUCUAGUGGCGCACGGGUGAGUAAUACAUCGGAACGUGCCUAGUAGUGGGGGAUAACUACUCGAAAGAGUGGCUAAUACCGCAUGAGAUCUACGGAUGAAAGCAGGGGAUCGCAAGACCUUGUGCUACUAGAGCGGCCGAUGGCAGAUUAGGUAGUUGGUGGGAUAAAAGCUUACCAAGCCGACGAUCUGUAGCUGGUCUGAGAGGACGAUCAGCCACACUGGGACUGAGACACGGCCAAGACUCCUACGGGAGGCAGCAGUGGGGAAUUUUGGACAAUGGGCGCAAGCCUGAUCCAGCAAUACCGCGUGCAGGAUGAAGGCCUUCGGGUUGUAAACUGCUUUUGUACGGAACGAAAAGCCCUGAGUUAAUACCCUGGGGUCAUGACGGUACCGUAAGAAUAAGCACCGGCUAACUACGUGCCAGCCGCCGCCGUAACAC
rnacentral:rRNA from 1 species